CUCAGAACGAACGCUGGCGGCUGGCUAAAACAUGCAAGUCGAAUGAGAAGCGGGCUUCGGGCCGUGGAAACUGGCGAAAGGGCGAGUAACGCAAUCGAACGUACCCCGAGGUGGGGGAUAGCGUCGGGAAACCGGCGGUAAUACCCCAUACGCUCUACGGAGGAAAGCUCCGGCGCCUUGGGAGCGGCGAUUGUCCUAUCAGGUUGUUGGUGAGGUAACGGCUCACCAAGCCGAAGACGGGUAGCGGGUGUGAGAGCAUGACCCGCCGCAUCGGGACUGAGACACUGCCCGGACUCCUACGGGAGGCUGCAGUAACGAAUCUUCCGCAAUGCACGCAAGUGUGACGGAGCAAUGCCGCGUGUGGGAUGAAGCGGUUACGCCGUGUAAACCACUGUCAGGGUCUAGGAAGAACUGACCAGACCCAGAGGAAGGGCCGGCUAAUCUCGUGCCAGCAGCCGCGGUAAUACGAGAGGCCCAAGCGUUAGGCGGAAUCACUGGGCUUAAAGGGUGCGCAGGCGGACGGGUAGGCAUCUCGUGAAAUCCCUCGGCUCAACCGAGGAAUUGCGGGGUGAACCACUUGUCUUGAGGAAGGCAGAGGCUGUCGGAACGUUCGGUGGAGCGGUGAAAUGCGUAGAUAUCGAACGGAACGCCGAAGGGGUAGCCAGGCAGCUGGGCCUUACCUGACGCUCAGGCACGAAAGCGUGGGGAUCAAACAGGAUUAGAUACCCUGGUAGUCCACGCCGUAAACGAUGUGUACUAGUUUGAUGCAGAUCUGACUCUGUGUCGAACGCCGAGAAAUCAUUAAGUACACCGNCUGGGGAGUACGGUCGCAAGGCUAAAACUCAAAGGAAUUGACGGGGGCUCACACAAGCGGUGGAGCAUGUU
rnacentral:rRNA from 1 species